UAUUUUGCGCACCUGCUAUUUAAGUGGAGGAGACAAAUCUGCUCCCUCCCCCUCCGCUUCUCCUUUGUGGCCGCGUGGAUUGUUUGGCGUGGCAGCUCGCGCAUCACACUCUCUACCAGACAGCUGACGCCCGGUGCGUUUGAGGAGGAUUGGCUCCUCCGGAGGUUCCCGGUCUUGCAGUGUUGCAACUAUUGGUGAGUUGCCGUUGUCUGCCGUAUUCUCACCUUCAGCUUGGUUUCUCUGGUGUACUGACUGUUAUUCAUGUCACAGUGGGAUUUGGCCGUGGGAUUGUUGGGUCUCUCUCUCCCUUCCCUGUGGGCUCUGUGGCUGCAACUGGCCGCACAGGCUGGGGUGCCAUAAACAUUCUCCCUUCCUGGUGGGCUCUGUGGCAGCGCCUAGCUGUAAAAGUUGGGACGCCGUAACCGUGAGCACCACACCGCCACAUUCUGGCGUUGUCGGCAGGAUCACCAUGUUAAAGGGGCAGAGAUACGUUUUUGUUUAGUUUUCUUACCUUUUUGAUGUUUAGUUUCAGCAGUAAGUGUCU